rnacentral:rRNA from 1 species
UACGUAGGGGGGCUAGCGUUGUCCGGAAUCAUUGGGCGUAAAGCGCGUGUAGGCGGCCCGGUAAGUCCGCUGUGAAAGUCGGGGGCUCAACCCUCGGAAGCCGGUGGAUACUGUCGGGCUCGAGUGCGGAAGAGGCGAGUGGAAUUCCUGGUGUAGCGGUGAAAUGCGCAGAUAUCAGGAGGAACACCAAUUGCGAAGGCAGCUCGCUGGGACGUAACUGACGCUGAGACGCGAAAGCGUGGGGAGCAAACAGG